AUGCCGUGGGAGCGGCUCAAGAAAUGGCAAAAAAGACCAAAAAAAAAAAAAAAAAAAAAAAAAGGACAAAAAAAGCCCCAUAAGUUUGGGGCACAAUUAAAGUUUUUAAAAAUUAGUUUACUGUAUAAAAUAUUGUAUACACAACAUUUAGGUUUGUAUAAAUCACAAUUAUUUUCCUGAUUGAAACUUACAUGAGUUUUAUGAGUUGACCCUUUUUCCUAUAACUUGUUUGGUGUUAAAAGUUAUAUGUACAAAAUUAUAUUCAGCUAAAUGAAAUGAUAAUAGAUGUGCUUUUACAUAGUUUAAUUUUAUAAUAUUCUUGUAAUUCCAGUUGUACUUUUAAAUUCCAUAAUUCCUGCUCGGUUCCUUUUCCGUAAUUUCUCCAUUUUUUAUUUAUUUAAUUAAUUCACUAAAGUAUAUUUGAUUUACAGUGUUGUGCCAAAUUCUUCUGUACGGCAUAGUGACACAGUCACAUAUAUGUGUCAUGUGUAUAAAUUAUUACACACAUGAUAUAUAUAUAUAUACAUUCUUUUUCUCAUACUCUCUUGCGUCAUGGUCUGUCCCAGGAGAUCAGGCAUGGUUCCCUGUGCUGUACAGUAGGACCUCAUUGCUUAUCUGUAAUAGUUUGCAUCUGCUAAUCCCAAACUCCCCAUACGUCCCGCUCCCUCCUCCCUCCCCCUUGGCCACCACAAAUCUGUUCUCCAUGCCCGUGAGUCUGUUUCUGCUUUGUAGAUAGAAUCAUUUGAAUAGGCGAAAGAAAUAUUCAGAAAGCAUAAAGAUCGGCAAAUUGAGAUUAUUUAGUCUUAGGAGCACCAAGAAACAAAGAUGACGAAAAAUGAACACCUCCCCAGAGAUCUGUGGGAAGCCAUCAAGUUUAUAGGCAUUCACUCAGUUGCUUGAACCUUUUGGCAGUGCCAUCGCAGCUUUCCUUUGAGUUCAUUUCUCCAUCUCAUACAAAGACAGUGCAGUUCACCAUGGCAACUGGCAUCCGUCACCUGGUUGCAGGUUUCCAAAGUCACUCUGCGACAUUCUCCACUGCUUAGGUCAUCUAAAAGCACCCAUUAACAGCAAUUUUUAGUCAGAUGAACAGGAAACAAUAAUCCCCUGUCUCUCUGAGAACUGCACUCCUCUCUUCUACACAAUAGCCUUGGGUACAACUAUAAGCAUCACUUCAAGACCAAGACCAGAAAGCUGCUGCAGCAACAAAUAAACACACCAGGGGAGCAGAGACGAUGAGGCCACUUUGGCAGGUCACUGAUGACCAGCACAGAGACAAGAAGAGUACCUAUCUACAAAAUCGUUUGCUUCCAGGGUUCCAGAUCUACAAACCCUUCUCUCCUAUUCUUGAAAGUUCUGGACAGACACUGACUCGGUGACAUGGCAAUAGUCAGGGACGUGUGGCUUCCUCCACCCUCCUCUAAGAUGCAGUAGCCAAGGCACAUCCACCUUGUCUCAGAACCGCAGCGGUAAGAGAGGAAUGUGUGAAAACUUCAGCUGAUUUAGGUCUGGGGUCUUGACUAAACUUAAUGGUUCUCUGUACUGUAGAGAUAUUUCUACCAACAGAAGAUUUUCAGAGCCUUUGGGCUAUUGCCUAACCACUGCUCAAGUUGCCUUCUUUUUUUUUUCCCCAUACAUAGAACUAUCCAUUGCUACAACAGGUGAAAACUAGUCAUUAUCCCUUAUUAACCUGAAAAAAAGAGAAUUACAGGAUGGCUUAACCUCUGCCAGGGGAUCAUCCCUGUCUGUGGACAUAUUCCAGAUGUGGAUUCUUUUGGAUAAUCCUGACUUAUGUGUGUGGAAAGUUCACACUUACAGAGGAAAACGCAAGUAGGCUAGAGAGACUAUGCCAUCGCAGACCUAAAUUUACCCUUGAAAUGAAAGCUUUCCAUAAAAUGUACAUCAGGUUGGAUGGUUAAAUUACUUACCUUCUCCCAGAUCUUCCCUGCCUUCCUAACACAAGUUAAAGAGCAAAUUUUAUACUGAUGGGAGGUAUAUCAUAUUGUAUUAUCCCAUACAUUUGAAUGUCUUUAGGAAUAAACACUUCCUGAGCCCUGCUGACACCCAUGUGAAAUGAAUCGUGCAUUACAACACUUUUGGGAAGGCUUUGCUAUUAACUAAGUUGAUACUGUAAUUAAGGGAGGGUUUAGCAAAAGUGCUUCAUGGCCUUACCUCCAGUGGCAGAAAAAGAUGUGAGCCUGACGUUGCUCGGACACCGCUAAGGUAAUUUUGGGAAAUUUUGCUGAGGUAGCGUCCAGUGCUGGCCCAGCUGCCAAUGGCACUGUCCUGGCGAGGUGUGCACACCGAGCACGAGCAAGGGUCAAUGCCCUAGGGCCAUGCUGUGCACUUCCACAUGGACUGGCCCCACUCCAGUUCUUGCUGUUUUGUCUUGAAGUGGAGAGCUUUUGUUGCUGGAAGACACUUACUAUCAUGAUAACAAACAUUAAAAAAUAGUAAACACUUGAUCUUAUUUUUCCAACCUGGUGAAUCCCAGUUCUUCUCUCCAGUAACAGGAGUGCAUGCUCUACUGGUAUUGUGUCCAGCUGGGCUGGGGAGCUGGCUUUUACUCUCUGGCUUCUGCAGUCCUGUGUCCACAAAUUCAGGGCAGGGGGCUGGAAAUAGGAAAGAGAGAGAGAGGAAGAGAGAGAAGGACUAGGGGGAUUUUAAAACCAAAAUUAUUAAAGUUGAAAAAUUUUCAGAAUUUCUACAGCCUCCCAAUCCUAGCUUCUACCUGAUAACAAGCUUAAAAAUUGUAUGAUGUUCCAGCUUUAUUACCAGCAGGUACAAGCUGGAUUCCCAGAACACUCACCCACGUAGAGUCCUUAUAAACUGAAGUCCAAUCUUUGGUUUUCUAGAAAAGGCCACAGCGAAAGCCUGAUUUUGAACUCAACAGAAAGACUUUCUCCUGCAUUUUUAAUGGCCGACAGAGCAAUGGCUCUUGUUGAGCCCUGGAUGCAUAUUUCUUUUUCUUUUUGUCUUUUUAGGGCCACACCCACGACAUACAGAGAUACCCAGGCUAGGGGUCUGAGCUGUAGCUGCUGGCCUACGCCACAGCCACACCAGUGCGGGAUCCGAGCCACCUCUCCACCUACACCACAGCUCAUGGCAAUGCCAGAUCCUUAACCCACUGAACAAAGCCAGGGAUCAAACCCACGUCCUCAUGGAUUCUAGUUGGGUUGGUUAACCACUAAGCCACUACGGGAACUCCAGAAGGGGACAAUAUUUAUACCAAAUGAUAGGACAAGAUCAUUAUUAUUUUGUAUGCUUUAGCAUCAAUGCAUGGCCCUCUGCUCUGCUGUUAUUCUUGCCUAUUAUGUCAAUUUGACGCUCUCUAGAAAGUGAUACUCUCCCACUAGGGACAGUUUUGUCCUAUGGAGAACAUUUGGCAAAAUAUGGAGAUAUUGCUGCUGCUGGCAUCCAGCGGGGAGAGGCAGGGAUGUAGGAAACAUCCUGCAGUACAAGGGGCUGGGCCACGGCUGAGAAUGUCUGUCUGGCUAAGAACGCCGGUAGUGCUGAGGUUGAGAAGCUCUGCUCUCGAACACCGAUAGGAUACACCUUGCCUCUGCCUUGGUAUACUUAACGUUAUUGUUCACGUUUUGAUGCAAUCUUAGGUUUAGAUGGUUUUGAACAGAGAAUUCCUGAGGACACCCUCCGUUCCUCCUGUGCUAACACAUUCAUGGAACACUUGUCAAACCAGAAACUAAUUUUGACUAAAAUAGAGUCCACCGGAAUUUCGCCAUUUCCUGCCAGUACCCUUUCUCCAUGGCCAUCCCAUCCAGACACCUGCUGCGUUAAGCUGUCACUCCUCCAGUCUGUGUCACGCCUUUUCUUUCUGGAGCAGGACAUUUUAGUAAUGUGGAGGACUGUUCUCAGUUUGCAUCUGUCUCAUAUUUUUGGACAUGUUUUCAUAUUUAGAUGGAGGUGACGCACUGUUGGGAAGGGCCCCACAGGUGCCCUUCUCAGUUCGUGAUAGCUGGGGUACAAGUUAUUGGAAUACAUAACUUUUUUUUUUAAUUAAAGUACAGUUGGUUUACAACAUUGUGCUAGUUUCUGCUGUACAGCAAAAUGACUCAGUCGUACCUGUACAUACAUUUGUUUUUAAUCUUAUUUUCCAUCGUGGUACAUCCCAGGAUGGAAUACGUGACUGUUUAUGUAAUCUUUGUCUCCCGGUGGUGCUGUCUUCUUUACAAAUAAACUCGAUGUAU
rnacentral:lncRNA from 1 species